rnacentral:rRNA from 1 species
UACAGGGGGGGCAAGCGUUGUCCGGAAUUAUUGGGCGUAAAGAGCUCGUAGGCGGCUUGUCGCGUCGGCUGUGAAAACCUAGGGCUCAACCCUGGGCCUGCAGCCGAUACGGGCAAGCUAGAAUUCGGUAGGGGAGACUGGAAUUCCUGGUGUAGCGGUGAAAUGCGCAGAUAUCAGGAGGAACACCGGUGGCGAAGGCGGGUCUCUGGGCCGAUAUUGACGCUGAGGAGCGAAAGCGUGGGGAGCGAACAGG